rfam:Opisthocomus hoazin contig75374, whole genome shotgun sequence.
CCAAAGGCUUUUUUUUAAAAAAAAAGCCACAACAUCAAAACCAAAAAUAGCUGU